UCUUAGGGAUGAGAAAAGAAAGUGGUUUCUUGAGAUAGAAUCUAUUCUUCAUGAAGAUGCUGUGAA
rnacentral:pre_miRNA from 1 species